rnacentral:rRNA from 1 species
GACAGAGGGUGCAAACGUUGCUCGGAUUUACUGGGCGUAAAGCGCAUGUAGGCGGGACUUUAAGUCGGGUGUGAAAUCCCUGGGCUCAACCUAGGAACUGCAUCCGAAACUGAGGUUCUGGAGUAGUGGAGAGGAAAGCGGAAUUCCGGGUGUAGAGGUGAAACUCGUAGAUAUCCGGAGGAACACCAGUGGCGAAGGCGGCUUUCUGGACACUAACUGACGCUGAGAUGCGAAAGCGUGGGGAGCAAACAGG